GUUUAAUCUUGGUGCGUGAACCUCCCUUUUCUUCGAGAAUAUAUGGAUUCUCCUCAACCAGGCAUGGAAUCUGGAGAGCAGAUUAAUGAUGAAGAAGUUAAGAGUGUAAUUGAAGUAAUGGCAGCUAGUGGGAAGUAUUGGCAUGACUGGGACAAACUCAAGGGCAUGCUGUCAUUCCAUCUUAAGCAGGUCCUGUCAGAUUAUCCCGAGGCAAAAAUGACUAUUGAACAGCAACAGUCCUGUUUAGAAGAGAGCUUACCUGAGUUGGUUAAGAGGUUGGAUGAUGCUCUCAACAGCUUUGUUGAAGGCCCUCCAUUUACGUUACAAAGACUUUGUGAGAUUUUGUUGGAUGCGCGGAACAUUUAUUCCAAGCUGUCAAAGCUAGCGUUGGCUCUAGAAAAGAAUUUGUUAGUUACAUCAACAUUGACUAUCUCUAGCGAUCCAUAUACCAUACAACAUGCUGCAACAGAAGCAGAGACAGAAACAGAAACGAAGGGUUCCCCAAUUGAAUCUAAUGGAGUGGAACCUAUAGCGAGUGCAGGUGAUGCAGAUGAAGUAAUGGCUGAGGCUGAGGCUGAAGUUGAGGAUGUUAUGACAGUUGACAUGGACACUAUUGAAGCAAUAGUUAGAUCAUCUGAAGCAGCAGAUACUACACCUACCAGUGAUUCAUAAUGCACGCUGCUGUUAUUAUUUUUCAUGUCAAAUACAGGAUAUGCGUACUCGGUAGGUCAUGCUUCAGUUAAAUUCAUAAAAUUU
rnacentral:misc_RNA from 1 species